AUGGGCGAAAGCCUAUGCAGCGACGCCGCGUGAGGGAUGACGGCCUUCGGGUCGUAAACUCUUUCACCAGGACGAAGCUAACGUGACGGUACCUGGAGAAGAAGCACCGGCUAACUACGUGCCAGCAGCCGCGGUAAUACGUAGGGUGCGAGCGUUGUCCGGAAUUAUUGGGCGUAAAGAGCUUGUAGGCGGUUUGUCGCGUCUGCUGUGAAAGACCGGGGCUUAACUCCGGUUCUGCAGUGGGUACGGGCAGACUAGAGUGUGGUAGGGGAGACUGGAAUUCCUGGUGUAGCGGUGAAAUGCGCAGAUAUCAGGAGGAACACCGAUGGCGAAGGCAGGUCUCUGGGCCAUUACUGACGCUGAGAAGCGAAAGCAUGGGGAGCGAACAGGAUUAGAUACCCUGGUAGUCCAUGCCGUAAACGUUGGGCGCUAGGUGUGGGACUCAUUCCACGAGUUCCGUGCCGCAGCUAACGCAUUAAGCGCCCCGCCUGGGGAGUACGGCCGCAAGGCUAAAACUCAAAGGAAUUGACGGGGGCCCGCACAAGCGGCGGAGCAUGCGGAUUAAUUCGAUGCAACGCGAAGAACCUUACCAAGGCUUGACAUACACCGGAAUCAUGCAGAGAUGUGUGCGUCUUCGGACUGGUGUACAGGUGGUGCAUGGUUGUCGUCAGCUCGUGUCGUGAGAUGUUGGGUUAAGUCCCGCAACGAGCGCAACCCUCGUUCCAUGUUGCCAGCACUUCGGGUGGGGACUCAUGGGAGACUGCCGGGGUCAACUCGGAGGAAGGUGGGGAUGACGUCAAAUCAUCAUGCCCCUUAUGUCUUGGGCUUCACGCAUGCUACAAUGGCCGGUACAGAGGGUUGCGAAACCGUGAGGUGGAGCUAAUCCCAAAAAACCGGUCUCAGUUCGGAUUGGGGUCUGCAACUCGACCCCAUGAAGUCGGAGUCGCUAGUAAUCGCAGAUCAGCAACGCUGCGGUGAAUACGUUCCCGGGCCUUGUACACACCGCCAGUCAAGUCACGAAAGUCGGUAACACCCGAAGCCGGUGGCCUAACCCUUGUGGGGGAGCCGUCGAA
rnacentral:rRNA from 1 species